UCCCUGGUGGCUCAGGCAGUAAAGGAUCUGCCUGCAGUGCAGGAGACCCAGGUUUGAUUCCUGGGUUGGGAA
rfam:TPA: Bos taurus chromosome 12, whole genome shotgun sequence.